AUAAUGAUGAUAACUAGCUUAUAUUUAAAUUUUUCUUUCUGUGUUACACCUUUUUUCUUGUAAUCUUUAGUCGUGUCGCCUUCUGUUGCUUCUGGUAAUGUUACUUUUACUUUUUUUUAUAAACCAAAAUAUAACUAAUUUAUAAUUUUAAAUUAUCAAAGUAAUAAUUUUCUUGUAACCUUUAGUUAUUUUGUCUCCUGUUGCCACUGGUAAGGUUACUUCUAGUUUUUUUUAAUAAAACAAAUGAUAACUAAUUUACAAUUUUUAAUUAUCGAAAUAAUACUCUUUUUUGUAAACUUUAGUUGCGUCUCCUCCUGCUGUCUCUGGUAUGGUUGUUUCUAAUUUUUUUUAUGUAAAGAAAUGGAAAAUUUUUCAUUAUUAAACAAAUGGUAAUUUACUUUGUUUUCAUAAUUGAUUAUAAAUGUUCUUUAGAUUCUUUACAUAUUUUACAUGCAUUUAUAUUUUGCUUUCAGCACUUACAUAUGCUGAUUACACAGCAUAUCGGUCCCAGCAUCCAGGACCCCUUUCAAAAAAAUCUUUUUUGAAUUGGGUUUAGCAUGGUGGGGAAAAUAUCCCACAUUUUAGAUGACAUCCCUACUCUGGUGCUGGGACACGUGGAUAAAGAGGUCGAGAAAGAAGGCACAGUAAAAGAGGUGGAAAUAAUGAUAGUGGGAGGUGGUUACAAUGCUCCGUUUACAAAAAUAUGGAUAUGUUGAUGCAUCUUGUAAUAUGAUUGGAGAGGCGGGGGGGGGGGGCUAUACGCCCUUCACCCUAAACCAAUGUCGUAAAGAAGUGAAAUAUAAUUUUUGUAUUUUAUAUUAGAUUUACUCAUUUUAAUAAAGAUUGAAAUAUUUA